rnacentral:rRNA from 1 species
GACGUAGGGUGCGAGCGUUGUCCGGAUUUAUUGGGCGUAAAGAGCUCGUAGGCGGCUUGUCGCGUCGUCCGUGAAAACUCACAGCUCAACUGUGAGCUUGCGGUCGAUACGGGCAGGCUAGAGUUCGGUAGGGGAGACUGGAAUUCCUGGUGUAGCGGUGAAAUGCGCAGAUAUCAGGAGGAACACCGAUGGCGAAGGCAGGUCUCUGGGCAUUAACUGACGCUGAGGAGCGAAAGCAUGGGGAGCGAACAGG